CCUGGCUGAGCGGUGGGAGAAGCGCGAAGGACGGAAAUGGCAACACUUGGGAAUUCGGGCUUCUGAGCACGCCUCGCUUGUGGAUCAUCGCAUGUUUUCUGGUCCUGAUGGUGCAGAGACAGUGACAGGAACGGAGAUCUGGUCGAGAUAAAGUCUUAAAUAAUGCAAAUGAAGACUCAGAGUAGUGUGUCCAUGCUGCUCUUAAAAGCAGGCUCUUGUAAUGUAGCUCUGCUUUCUGAUGCAAAUGCAGGAAGAACCAAAGAAAGCAUCGGGGUUUGAUGAUGUUUCAUUUCUUCAUAAAAGAGUCAGCAGUCAGUUUGUUGAGAGUGUUGAUAAAAGAGACAGACAUUUGUGUUUAAAGGACUUGCAAGUCUGGAAUCCAGGUAAAACCCAAGUUAUUUUUGGUUCUGAGAAUGGGCCAUAGUCUGUUAAUAGUAGAAACACUGUGAUCAAACAUCUGUGUUCAUUUGUAUUGUUCAUGGCUUCUCUGUCAUGGAUUUUCUUGGCAGUUUCCUCAGGUGCCAGAAUCAGUGCCAGGAGUCUGACUGUUUGGAAUGUGCCAUAAUUGUGGGAUUUCAAUGCAGAUUGUUUCUGUGGAUCUUGACUCCCAGGUGUGAAGUUUCCACUUUGCAGUAUUCUGAGUAUAAAUCAGCAGAAAGGAGAGUAGACAAAACCAUUUCUCAGUGGAAGAGAGGGAUUGCUAAGCCACAGAGUAAUUCAGGAGAUUGUAGAAGCAAAGUCCUAGUCCAGCUGAAACUUGUGUUUACCUGAAGUCACAAUAGCUGAGUUAUUUCUCUAGUAUUGUCAGUGCCCCUCUUAACCCUGUCUGAAUUUAUGGGAUUGAAUUUUCAGAUGCCCUUAUUUGUUGGUUUGUUUGUUUGUUUGCUGUCACUUCCAAGUCACAUAGCAAAUUUGAAGGAGCAGUAGAUAAGUCCCUGUGGGAUACAAUUGAAAUACUAUGGUCUUCUGUAGUCCAGGCAUACUUGUAGUCACCUGUAGCAAGAUCCAUCCCAGGAAAAACUGGUAUUUGAAGCUGGGUAUAUCAGUUGAAAUUGGUUUGGUUUUCAUUCCUGACCAGCUAAGCAAGUGAGGGCAGUGGUCAUCCCCUUACCCAAGAGUCUGAAGAAGCUCAGGAGCCGUGUGUGAUCUCAUGCUGGUCUUUAAGAAAGGAUUUUGAGGUGUGGAGUCAACAUUAUGCUCCCAAUAAUGCAGGAGACGUUUGACUAUGAGGCAAGUCCUUUUGCAGCAAAGCAGGCAAAAUGUGUUGAGACAAUCUUGGAUUCAUGUGACAGCGUGUAUGUAUUGAAAGAUAGCAAUGAACAAAGCAGGCUGACCAACAGAACCCACAGGAUGCCAUUCUGUGUCCUACAAAACUUAAAUUUAAGGCUUGCGUUGUAGCUAUCUUGACAAAUUUUAGCCAACCUGCCUGAAAUAUGUGGCUAUUUGACAUAUGAGGGAAAGCAGCAUAAACCAGUAAAAUCUGGCAAUAGGCCAGUUAGGGAGAAAGCAGUUUCAUUAACACUAUCUCAGCAUUUGUUUUCCUAGCUGUUUUCUUUUACUCCAAGAAAAGAAGAAAAGCUUAAAUUACUAAACUAUUUUCUUGGUGCUUGGAACAAAAACUCCUGUAGUGCUUCAUUUUUGUACUUUAGCAGUGGCUUUUCCAUUCUCCAGGAGUUUGUAGUAAAAUGACUUGCAAUUUACGUGUUCUUUGUACUACCCACAUUAAAGAUCUGAUGGAUGUUGUGUCAUGAUCUGUGUUUUGACAGCAUGUGGUGGUCAAGAAAGUGGGGAAGCUGAUCUAGACCCCAUGGUUUUGGGGUUUUCUUCCCCACAAAAAAAAAAAGGGCAAAUCCUUUUCUGAUAAUAAGGAAAACCAAUACAUGGGUAGGAUUAUUACUGAAAAUAGGAAAAAAGUCAUCCAGAUGCUGUUUAUCACUAUGUUGAAGAAAAAAUUGCUCUUCAAUCUCAAAUACUUUCUUAGCUUUGGGUAGUAAGGGGAGUGAACUAGUCUAGGAAAUGAGUUAUUAUAAAGAAAAAAAUACGGUUUUUAAUGGAAGUUUUAAAAAUCAAGGCUACAUUCUUUGGUUAUAGACUUUAAUUAUUAUUGUUCUGUCUUGCUUGAAUCAUGUAGUCAUUUUUGUCUAUUGCCCUCUCUGUCCUUGGAUAGCAUGAGUUUAAAACCUGGAUUGUCUUUGAAAGGCUUAAUACUGGAAUUCAUCUGGGAGUUAAGUGGUAAUUAAUGGUCAUAAGAAGUCCACACAGUCAUCAGGUAAGCAGUAAUAUCCAUCCCUGUGCAGCAGCAUGUCAGCAAUUCAGUCCAAACAUGGAAAACCAUGAGUCUGUGUCAUCACUUUAACUGUAUUUUAAACUGUUUCAUGAGAUUCAGAAAGCAGGGCAUUUUUGGAUGUUCUCUAGAUUUGCUGUGUAAGAGAGACCAGGUCUUUGCAUGCCAGCAUGAACACAGGGACCUCUUUGCUGAAGCUCUACCAGUAGAAGAAAUGGCUGUUAGAAGAUCUGUAUCGUGGGUUUGCAGUAUAUACAUCUAUGUCAUACUAAAUUACAGUUUCUGCUGACUUGGAGAAAUAAAUAUUCUGAAAAAUUA